UUAAGUUCAGCGGGUAGUCCUACCUGAUUUGAGGUCAAGUUGUCAAUUGUUGUCCGAAGACGGUUUGAAGCACAGAGCUCCCGAUCGGCCACCCUCUACUGAGGUGCCGGCGAAGACACUUAUCACGCCGUACUAUGUCCAACCAGGAGGUGCACGAAUCCAUUUGAGGUGAGCCACGGUCAAGCAGCAACACCCAAGUC
rnacentral:misc_RNA from 1 species